UCGAUAUGAUGUUCAGAAGACUGUUGCC
rnacentral:sRNA from 1 species